rnacentral:ncRNA from 1 species
CAACCUCAACUCAUAUGGGACUACCCCCUGAAUUUAAGCAUAUUAAUUAGGGGAGGAAAAGAAACUAACAAGGAUUUUCUUAGUAGCGGCGAGCGAAAAGAAAACAGUUCAGCACUAAGUCACUUUGUCUAUAUGGCAAAUGUGAGAUGCAGUGUAUGGAGCGUCAAUAUUCUAGUAUGAGAAAUUAAUGAUUUAAGUCCUUCUUAAAUGAGGCCAUUUACCCAUAGAGGGUGCCAGGCCCGUAUAACGUUAAUGAUUGCUAGAUGAUGUUUCCAAAGAGUCGUGUUGCUUGAUAGUGCAGCACUAAGUGGGUGGUAAACUCCAUCUAAAACUAAAUAUAACCAUGAGACCGAUAGUAAACAAGUACCGUGAGGGAAAGUUGAAAAGAACUCUGAAUAGAGAGUUAAACAGUACGUGAAACUGCUUAGAGGUUAAGCCCGAUGAACCUGAUAUCCGUUAUGGAAAAUUCAUCAUUAAAAUUGUAUAUUUAAUAUAUUAUAAGAAUAAUG